rnacentral:misc_RNA from 1 species
UGAUCUGGCUCACUAUUGCCGCAUGAAA